rnacentral:rRNA from 1 species
CAAUAGCGUAUAUUAAAGUUGUUGCAGUUAAAAAGCUCGUAGUUGGAUUUCUGGGAGGGUGCCAAUGUCCGUCGUCGUACGUGUUGCAGCGGCGCCCUUCCAUCCUUCUGUUAACGACUUUGGGCAUUCACUUGCCGGAGUCGGGCUCAGAUAUUUUACCUUGAGAAAAUUAGAGUGUUUCAGGCAGGCUAGGCCGGAAUACAUUAGCAUGGAAUAAUAAGAUAAGACUUGGGUCAUUAUUUUGUUGGUUUGCGGAUCGAGGUAAUGAUUAAUAGGGAUAGUUGGGGGUAUUCAUAUUUAAUUGUCAGAGGUGAAAUUCUUGGAUUUAUGAAAGAUGAACUUAGGCGAAAGCAUUUACCAAGGAUGUUUUCAUUAAUCAAGAACGAAAGUUAGGGGAUCGAAGACGAUUAGAUACCAU